CUGGCUGAAAAGAACCAGCAGCUGGAGGCUCAGCUGGCUGACCUGAAGGAGAGAUACAACCAGGAGUAUAAAACAAUAAUCGCAGAGGAGCGAGAGUGGAGGGAGGAGCUUGACAGAGACCUGAAGGUUCUGAGGAAGGAAUAUGAAAAUAAGAACAACCAGCUGAGAGAAAUCCAAAAGGAAGCAGAAUCUAAAACCUCUGAAGACGUUUCAGCACCGGCAGAGGAAGAGGAAGAGGAAGAAGAUUCAUA